rnacentral:rRNA from 1 species
CUACGGGGUGCACCAGUGGGGAAUAUUGCACAAUGGGCGCACGCCUGAUGCAGCCACGCCGCGUGUAUGAAGAAGGCCUUCGGGUUGUAAAGUACUUUCAGUGGGGAGGAAGGGAGUAAAGUUAAUACCUUUGCUCAUUGACGUUACCCGCAGAAGAAGCACCGGCUAACUCCGUGCCAGCAGCCGCGGUAAUACGGAGGGUGCAAGCGUUAAUCGGAAUUACUGGGCGUAAAGCGCACGCAGGCGGUUUGUUAAGUCAGAUGUGAAAUCCCCGGGCUCAACCUGGGAACUGCAUCUGAUACUGGCAAGCUUGAGUCUCGUAGAGGGGGGUAGAAUUCCAGGUGUAGCGGUGAUAUGCGUAGAGAUCUGGAGGAAUACCGGUGGCGAAGGCGGCCCCCUGGACGAAGACUGACGCUCAGGUGCGAAAGCGUGGGGAGCAAACAGGAUUAGAUACCCUCGUAGUC